AUGGAAAGAUACCUGCUUCUGAUUUUAAUUGUGACUCCAGGUGUGAUGGCUGCAGACCAGAUUGAACCCAAUAUAGGAACAAACAUCAUUAAGAAAGAAGAUGAUAGAGUAACACUGAGCUGCUCAUAUGAUACUAGCAGCAAUUAUGUUACACUUUACUGGUACAGACAGUAUCCUAACACAGAACCUCAGUAUUUAAUUUGGAAAGAUGCUCGGUCAUGGAGUGAUACUGGGACCCCCUCUGAUCCUCGGUUUCAGUCGACAACAUCACAAACAUCCACUGAACUCUCUAUUAAUGGUGUAACUCUGUCAGAUUCAGCUCUCUACUACUGUGCUCUUUGGAACCCAGUGAUACAAAGUCUAUGUGAAGCUGUACAAAAACAAAUUCACUUUGAUCUCAAUCAACAUCAAACCCACAAUCUAUAA